GUGGAAGAUUUGGGCCGAGGAUGUUCUGAACAUGUCGCUCCUGCGGUGGAUGGAAGUGACUACAUUCAUGGGCAAUACCAUCUCUAUACGACGACAUCGUGUCUACGGGGGGCAUCUGGCCAUUGCUCUAUCUACUGCUCCUACAAGGAGAGGCCCCGAUGCGUGAUCGCCCUGAACCGCAGCGCUUACUAUACUCUUUAUACUCUAUUCGGUGGCCUAUGGCUACGAAAAAAUCCCCGGAACCUUAUAUCCGUUCUGCUCUAUCUGGAGAUUCCAAUCCUUGCUUUGUUACCCAGGAUUUCCGUGAUUGCGAGUAACCAAUCGGCCAAUCGGGACAGUUGGAGCCGACAAUCAAGAGAGGAUAUCACAGCCAUGACAGGGGUUCAGCUGCGGGAGCGUUAAUCAUUCUUUUUGGGCGACGAGAGCUCUCAUCUUCGGGUUCCGUGGCCGAGCCAAAACUACCAAAAAAAAAAAAAAAAAAAAAAAAAUUUUUUCACCGGUGUUUGCAAGGACGAUAGGAUCGGUAGUCUGCUGUUACCCCAAGUCCGACUGAUUCUCGAGGUGUUCCUUCGAGGGGAAGAUGCUGUGCCCACUAUUCGCAAAUGGUGACCCAAGAUCUCCCUGGCGACUGUAAACUUUUUCGAGGGAUACGUUUUCUUCGUGGAGGGAAGGCAGCUGUCGCAACGCAAUAAUAAUAACCGGUCCAAGUCACUAGGGGGUAACUACGGAGUACGGGAUAUUUGGAAUGUUUCCGUAACGAAAAAUUUGCCGUGCCCGGGGAAGCGGAAGUGGGCUGGACCCUGAAAAUCGGGGCUAGCAGCAGCUAGGGCCAAUGCGUACAACCAGUGAACAGAUGGCGACGAUGGCGAACGUGGACCGUAUCAGUGUAUCAGGAGAACCACCGUAGCGCUGUAUCAACAUCGAUCCUCCGCCGCGAAGCCCGUCCAUCUCAGGGUGCAUCAGUAGUAGUAGUAGUAGUAGUAGUAGUAGUAGUAGUAGUAGUAGUAGUAGUA
rnacentral:sRNA from 1 species